UACGAAGGGGGCUAGCGUUGUUCGGAAUCACUGGGCGUAAAGCGCACGCAGGCGGAUUGAUAAGUCGGGGGUGAAAUCCCGGGGCUCAACCUCGGAAUUGCCUUCGAUACUGUCUGUCUUGAGUCCGGGAGAGGUGAGUGGAAUUCCUAGUGUAGAGGUGAAAUUCGUAGAUAUUGGGAGGAACACCAGUGGCGAAGGCGGGUCUCUGGGCCGAUACUGACGCUGAGGAGCGAAAGCGUGGGGAGCGAACAGG
rnacentral:rRNA from 1 species